AUGAUUCAAGAGAAGAUUACAAGCAUGCCAUAUUUCAAAGUUCAUGGUUCAUCAUCAUUCAUCCAUGGUUCAUCUCAAUACAAGUUCAUUCAAUCCAAAGCUUCGUGCAAGCAUAAUUCAAGUCAAAAUUCAAAGUUAAUUCAAAUUCAAAUUUACAUCAUAAUACAUAAAAAAUUCACAAAGAAAAUAUACAAGACAUUUUUUUUAUCUAAAGUUCCCAAGGCUUAUCUUCCUCUCACCAAAUGA